UUUUACAUAUCUUUCGUAAAAGUUCGUCAGAGUAUGAAAAUGUCGAUUCAAUUUGUCAUGAAUAACUUGAAUUUUAAGAUUUUCGCGCAUAAAAUUAUGACGCGCGCUGUCUGUGCGGCGGCGUAAGUCGCUACUCGUAUAGCCGUCUCGCUUCUUCUUGUGUGUGCUUUACCGUUGCUCACCGCUUCAAGAACAUUGCUGCUCACACACACGUCAGUCUGUGGCAAACAAUUGGAGGGGGAGGAUGUGUCGGUUUGCUCCAGAAAUCGUGUGUGAUUUUGGUGUUCUGGAUUUGGUUCCAUCGCUGUUUGUUUUGGUGAAUUUGAAAAGGUAAGAAUCAUUAACCGAUGUAAAAGUGUGAGAGUAAGAUGAUGCUGAUGGUGACUGAUGAUUUUCUUUGUUUCUUUUCCUGCUUUCAUCCACUGAUGGUGUCGAGCAUCGCCGAGGAUGUGAUCGAAUGCGGAAUAUUCGAAACGAGGAGAUUCAUUCCGGAUUUUGUUUCCAAUAAGCGCUGAACUAAUCCUCCAGCUUACAGGACGGCAAAGGUACACGCACAAACGUGCACACAUCAGCCUUCUCGGAGAACGAGAACACGGGAGGGGGAGACCGGCAACGUAUAGAACCUUUACGCUCCCUCGUGCGUUCGUGCGUGCGUGCGCGCGCGCGUCUAUGUGUGUGUAUGUGUGUGCAUGCCUGCGUGCGUGGCUGUGUGUGUUUUUGCCGCUUCGCAUAACGAGAUCCUACGGGAUCACCUUGCGAAAAACACCAAGAGAGGGGGAGGGGUAGGUAUGUGUGUAUGUGUGUGUGUAUGUGUGCUUGCAUGCGUGCGUGACUGUGUAUGUGUGCUUGCAUGCGUGCAUGGCUGUGUAUGUGUGUGUAUGUGUGCUUGCAUGCGUGCAUGGCUGUGUAUGUGUGUGUAUGUGUGCUUGCAUGCGUGCGUGGCUGUGUAUGUGUGUGUAUGUGUGCUUGCAUGCGUGCGUGGCUGUGUAUGUGUGUGUAUGUGUGCUUGCAUGCGUGCAUGGUUGUGUAUGUGUGUGUAUGUGUGCUUGCAUGCGUGCGUGGCUGUGUAUGUGUGUGUAUGUGUGCUUUUGCUGUUUGGCGAUCUCCUACGGAAUCACCUUGCGAAAACACGUGGGGGGGGGGGGGGGAGGAGUGAAGUGUGUGUGUGCUUGCCUGCGUGCUUUGUGUGUGUGUUUUUGCGUUCACGUUCUACGGGAUCACUUUGCGAAAAACACCAAGGGGAGGAGGAGGUGUGUGUGUGUAUGUAUUUUUUUUCUUUGCCGAUUCGCACUCUCUCGCGGAUCUAGUUGUGUGCGUUAGUUUUUUUUUUUAGUUUCUUCGAAAAAUACCUGGGGGAGGAUGUGUGUAUGAAAGAAUGUACUUCAGAAAAGAAAGUGAAAAAUAAAAAACGAAUAUGAAAUAUGUUAAACGAA